rnacentral:lncRNA from 1 species
GAUCAGCAGACGAAUUUCUAGUUCCAUUCGACAUUUCUUUUUCUUCGAGACGCUGUCCGAAAAGUUGACAUCAGCCAUUGGCUCAUGGCGGGGCACUUUCUUUCCUGACGUUUUUCGUUAAUGGGUUCCUUGUUCAUUUUGAGCUGUUAAUGGUGUUGUCUGGUGUGCAGUGAUUUUGCAGUUAUUCAGUCGAGAGAUGCCCUGAAAUGGAUGAUCAACUGCUGAGACUUCCCUCACUUCAUGGUCUUUUUCUAUGGAGACGCUGUCCUAGAAGGUUUAGCUUGUCCAUUGCAGGCAACUUUUCUCUCUUGACAUUAUUAGUCUUCAAAAUGGGAACAUGGCUUUUAACUUGUACUUGCAUGGUUAAUUACUAAUGGUUAAAUUUCUAAUAGUUCUUUAAUCUAUCGGUUUAAUUUUUACGGUCAUGAGAUCUGCCGUACAUUUUCUCCAAAAUGUCGUCUCUUGGUUCAUGUUGCACGUUUCGUCACAUUCAGAAUAAUAGCCUGGUGAAGUCAAAGCUUUUCAUUGCGUUACGCACUUACGUGUACGCGAUCGCUGCCGUUUAAUGAAGGUUCUCUAAGAGGGUCUCUACCACAUUGCAAGACAACAUUGUGAUGGAAAUAGGAAAUCUGAAAUAAUAAUAAUUUUUCCACGUUCCGUAUGAUGUUCGAGCUUUUUGUUGUGGCGGUUACGUGCGCAGUGAUUUUCCAGGAGAGAUGCGUUAAAAAGUCGUGUUGGCUUUAGAGUUUUUCCAGGGACAAAGCAGCUGAUGUUGGCAACAUGGCAAAUGCCACUGAGCCUGACUUAAUGUUCUCUGGACACUGUCAGUUACAUUGUUCGUGACCAAUGCGGAACAACAUUCUUCUUCACAAAUAUCUCAUAAAGGAUUAGUGGCUUGGUGAGGUUGAGCUUUUUCAUGGCAGUUGAGUGUCCACAUGGACUUGUUGCAGCGAGCUGGUGAAGGGUGUGGUGAGCUGUUGCGUGACGACCAUGGGCUGGUGCGGAGAAGUGCUGCACGCUGUCUGCGGCUUCCAUCGUCAGUUAGCUGUAUGAGCUAAUUAUGUUGUUGCUCUUUGGUAUGCAGUUCAUGUUCAGUUGGUUUUGUUGCAGCCAGCUGGUGAAAGGGAGUCCUAGUUGAGCUGCAGCUUUUGAAGCAGUUAACAAUGCUCGUGUUAUUCCGAAAUGUAACAUCAAUGAAGACAUCUUGAAAUGGUCUUGGUGAUGAUGCAAUCAUCCAUCUUCUGCAUGGAUUUUGUGUUACCAAGAAGUGGAGAAGUUAGACUUGAAGCAAAGCUGCAGGAAAAGAAACGGUAUUGACGUUUAAUGUGCAGUGGUUUUGCAGUCCGACUCCUUUUCAAGCUGUUGCUUUCCUGAAUUUUGCUGGAGUCUUUGAAGUAGCUGAUCCUGUCAUCCUGAAGUUAUGAUGCGGGGUUAUCCUGGAAUAGCUGUUGUUGGUGUCUUUAAGUUACUGUGGCAGUUCAAUUCGGGUUGA